rnacentral:rRNA from 1 species
CUACGGGACGCAGCAGUGGGGAAUAUUGGACAAUGGGGGCAACCCUGAUCCAGCCAUGCCGCGUGUGUGAAGAAGGCCUUUUGGUUGUAAAGCACUUUAAGCAGGGAGGAGAGGCUAAUGGUUAAUACCCAUUAGAUUAGACGUUACCUGCAGAAUAAGCACCGGCUAACUCUGUGCCAGCGAGCCGCGGUAAUACAGAGGGUGCGAGCGUUAAUCGGAAUUACUGGGCGUAAAGCGAGUGUAGGUGGCUCAUUAAGUCACAUGUGAAAUCCCCGGGCUUAACCUGGGAACUACAUGUGAUACUGGUGGUGCUAGAAUAUGUGAGAGGGAAGUAGAAUUCCAGGUGUAGCGGUGAAAUGCGUAGAGAUCUGGAGGAAUACCGAUGGCGAAGGCAGCUUCCUGGCAUAAUAUUGACACUGAGAUUCGAAAGCGUGGGUAGCAAACAGGAUUAGAUACCCGCGUAGUC